rnacentral:rRNA from 1 species
UAAGGAAUAUUGCUCAAUGGGAGAAAUCCUGAAGCAGCAACGCCGCGUGGAGGGUGAAGGGUCUAUGACUUGUAAACUCCUGUAAAGAAGGAAAAAAUUCCCAUUUGAUGGGAGAUGAUGGUACUUCUGGAGUAAGCCCCGGCUAACUACGUGCCAGCAGCCGCGGUAAUACGUAGGGGGCAAGCGUUGUCCGGAUUUACUGGGUGUAAAGGGUGCUCAGGCGGAGUUGUAAGUCAGAGGUGAAAACUUACAGCUUAACUGAGAAACUGCCUUUGAUACUGCAAGCCUAGAGUAUGGAAGAGCGUGAUGGAAUAUCUGGUGUAGCAGUGAAAUGCGUAGAUAUCAGAUAUAACACCAAUGGCGAAGGCAGUCACUUGGUCCAUUACUG